GAACCAUGGGAACAUUAUGUGCAGACCAGUUAACUAACACACACACACACACACACACAGUUAUGUUACAUUUAUAAAUACAUUUCUGGUAAAGGUUUUGGUGAAAAUUCUGAAAAACAUAAAAAGUAACAUAAAAAAGAAACUAUGACAACACUUAUGUAAAAUAUGGAUAUACAUCUAUUAUUAACACCAGAGAAGGGUUCUACAUGACAAAAAGGAACCUACGAUCCUGAAAACAAGCAGGAAAACUCACAGCCAACAAGACAAAAACACUGCUUGUCAUGUAACCAAACCCUUCAAUCCUGAAGACCUUCUCAUGGUGGAAAACUUAAGUGCUCUUAAGACUCCCGGUUCUCCACAAACACUCUGACACACCAAAUUUCUUCAGCAACUGUCUUAGGACUACAGCCAUGUCAUCACAAAUCCUGCAUCAUCAGCUCAACGUGGGAAUGCACAUGUUUUGCCAGCGAGUCUGCAUCUGCAUAAGUGAAACAUUA